GUCGGUCGCUAAAAUGAAAUGUCGUAACGACUCUCGGCAACGGAUAUCUCGGCUCUCGCAUCGAUGAAGAACGUAGCGAAAUGCGAUACUUGGUGUGAAUUGCAGAAUCCCGUGAACCAUCGAGUCUUUGAACGCAAGUUGCGCCCGAAGCCGUUAGGCCGA
rnacentral:rRNA from 5 species